ACAAAUGCUAGCCCAAACAACACAAAACCUAAUAAUAAUAUACUCUAUAAAACAAAACAUUUACCUAAUCAAAAGUAUAGGAGAUAGAAAUUUUAACAUGGCGCUAUAGAGAGAAGUACCGCAAGGGAAAGAUGAAAGAUAAGUUAAAAGUAUAAAACAGCAAAGAUAAACCCUUGUACCUUUUGCAUAAUGAAUUAACCAGAAUAACUUGACAGAGAGAACUUAAGACAAACACCCCGAAACCAGACGAGCUACCUAGAGGCAGCCACGCGGGCGAACUCGUCUAUGUAGCAAAAUAGUGAGAAGACUUCUAGGUAGAGGUGAAAAGCCUAUCGAGCCUGGUGAUAGCUGGUUGUCCAGAAUAGAAUUUUAGUUCAAUUUUAAGUUCUACCCAAAACCUUAAUAAUUCUCCUGUAGACUUAAAAUAUAAUCUAACAGGGUACAGCCUUUUAGAAACAGGAUAAAACCUUAACUAGAGAGUAAGUAUAUAUGUACUUACAUAGUUGGCUUAAAAGCAGCCACCAAUUAAGAAAGCGUUCAAGCUCAAUAUAUUCAACAUAUCCUAAUACAAAAAAUCGCACACGAACUCCUAGAUCAACACUGGACUACUCUAUUAAAAAAUAGAGGAAAUACUGUUAAUAUGAGUAACAAGAACUAACUUCUCCAAGCACAAGUUUAUAUCAGAACGGAUAACCCACUGAUAGUUAACAACAAAAUAAUUAUAUACUACGCUUAAAAAUUUUAUUCAACUAAUUGUUAACCCAACACAGGAGUGCAUCCAAGGAAAGAUUAAAAUAAGUGAAAGGAACUCGGCAAACACCAAACCCCGCCUGUUUACCAAAAACAUCACCUCUAGCAUAUUAAUUAUUAGAGGCACUGCCUGCCCAGUGACAUCAGUUCAUCGGCCGCGGUAUCCUGACCGUGCAAAGGUAGCAUAAUCAUUUGUUCCUUAAAUAGGGACUUGCAUGAAUGGCCACACGAGGGUUUUACUGUCUCUCACUUACAAUCAGUGAAAUUGACCUUCCCGUGAAGAGGCGGGAAUUUAAAAAUAAGACGAGAAGACCCUAUGGAGCUUUAAUUAAUUAACUCACAAACAAACAAUUAAUAUUCCCAGGAACACAAAACACUUCAGAUGAGUUAACAAUUUAGGUUGGGGUGACCUCGGAAUACAAAACAACUUCCGAGUGAUAAGAUAAAGACAAACAAGUCAAAACAUUACAUCAUUUAUUGAUCCAAUAAAAUUGAUCAACGGAACAAGUUACCCUAGGGAUAACAGCGCAAUCCUGUUUGAGAGUCCAUAUCGACAACAGGGUUUACGACCUCGAUGUUGGAUCAGGACAUCCCAAUGGUGCAGCCGCUAUUGAAGGUUCGUUUGUUCAACGAUUAAAGUCCUACGUGAUCUGGGUUCAGACCGGAGCAAUCCAGGUCGGUUUCUAUCUAUUUUGUGUCUCCCCCAGUACGAAAGGACAAGGGAAACAAGGCCAACUCAACACAAGCGCCUUAAUACUAAUAGAUGAUAAUAUCUCAAUCUAAUAAUUACAUAACAUCUAAGCCCAAGAAAAGGGCUA
rnacentral:rRNA from 1 species